GACGAACGCUGGCGGCGUGCUUAACACAUGCAAGUCGAACGGAAAGGCCCCUUUGGGGGUACUCGAGUGGCGAACGGGUGAGUAACACGUGAGUAACCUGCCCUUGACUUCGGGAUAACUUCAGGAAACUGGGGCUAAUACCGGAUAGGAAUCCUUGCUGCAUGGUGGGGGUUGGAAAGCUUCGGCGGUUUUGGGUGGACUCGCGGCUUAUCAGCUUGUUGGUGGGGUAGUGGCUUACCAAGGCUUUGACGGGUAGCCGGCCUGAGAGGGCGACCGGCCACAUUGGGACUGAGAGACGGCCCAGACUCCUACGGGAGGCAGCAGUGGGGAAUAUUGCACAAUGGGCGGAAGCCUGAUGCAGCAACGCCGCGUGCGGGAUGACGGCCUUCGGGUUGUAAACCGCUUUCAGCAGGGGCGAAGCUUGUGGUGACGGUACCUGCAGAAGAAGCACCGGCUAACUACGUG
rnacentral:rRNA from 1 species